rnacentral:misc_RNA from 1 species
AAAGUCGUAACAAGGUUUCCGUAGGUGAACCUGCGGAAGGAUCAUUACUGAUUUGGCAAACCGAGCUUGUUAGCAAGGUUUUGCGAUCAAAAACUUUAUAUUUAAAACCCCACUCUUUUAAAAUGUAUAUUUUUUUUAUUUUUGAAUGAUAAAAUUAAAAGAUCACUUUCAACAACGGAUCUCUUGGCUCUC